GUAUAGUGUUGACUAUGGAAGUAUAAAUAAUGUCCAGGUUUAUGUCCUCUGUUGACUGAGAAACGUAUAAAUAAAAGGCUGAUGUUCGUUUAUUCAGAAAAGGAAUAAAAUUUAGAAUCCGGUUAAUCAAUUGUAAAAGGACCUUCUAGAGCCUCAAUCUUAACGCACACAAAUGUCAAUCAUUACAUGAAUUUUCCCACGGUUAUCCAGAAAGGUCACCUGAGUUUACUGUUACAUGAUACUAUUUCCCGCCAAAUAAAAAUCUCGUGGACAAAAUUGAUGUCACUAUUUUUAGCAUUCAAUAUUGUGAGCGAAGUCAAGUU
rnacentral:lncRNA from 1 species